GAACGAGGAUAUAUCCUUCGGGAUAUAAGCCGAGUGGCACAAGGGUGAGCAAUGCAUAGAUUACCUACCUUUAGGAUAAGGGCAACUUUGUGAAAACGGAGCUAAUACUUAAUAAUACAAAAGAAAAUAAUUUUCUUUUGUCAAAGGGAGGGUAGCAAUACCUUUCGCCUAGAGAGGGGUUUAUGUCCUAUCAGCUUGUUGGUGGGGUAAUAGCCUACCAAGGCGAAGACGGGUAGCCGGUUUAAGAGGAUGGUCGGCCACACUGGGACUGAGACACUGCCCAGACUUCUACGGAAGGCUGCAGUCGAGAAUCUUUCGCAAUGCCCGAAAGGGUGACGAAGCGACGUCGCGUGGGUGAAGAAGGCCUUCGGGUUGUAAAGCCCUGUCAGGAGUUAUGAAAUGUAAGAGCGCUAAUAACGUGCUUAUUUGACAAAGGCUCCAAAGGAAGUCACGGCUAACUCUGUGCCAGCAGCCGCGGUAAUACAGAGGUGGCGAGCGUUGUUCGGAAUUAUUGGGCGUAAAGAGCACGUAGGUGGGUUUGCAAGUCAGAUGUGAAAGCCUUCUGUUCAACGGAAGAAUUGCAUCUGAAACUGCUAAUCUUGAGUAUAGGAGGGGAGAAUGGAACUUCUGGUGGAGCGGUGAAAUGCGUAGAUAUCAGAAGGAACGCCGGCGGCGAAAGCGAUUCUCUGGCCUAUUACUGACACUCAGUGUGCGAAAGCUAGGGGAGCAAACGGGAUUAGAUACCCCGGUAGUCCUAGCCGUAAACGAUGGGCACUAAGUAGAGGGGAUUACCUAUAUUCUCUCUGCCGUAGCUAACGCAUUAAGUGCCCCGCCUGGGGAGUACGGCCGCAAGGCUAAAACUCAAAAGAAUUGACGGGGGCUCGCACAAGCGGUGGAGCAUGUGGCUUAAUUCGAUGCAACGCGAAAAACCUUACCGGGGCUUGACAUGAUAGAAGUAGGAACCUGAAAGGGGGACGAACGGUAUCCAGUCCGUAGCUAUUACAGGUGUUGCAUGGCUGUCGUCAGCUCGUGUCGUGAGACGUUGGGUUAAGUCCCCUGACGAGCGAAACCCUUGUUUUUAGUUACCAGCGGGUUAUGCCGGGUACUCUAGAAAGACUGCCGUCGUCAAGACGGAGGAAGGUGGGGAUGACGUCAAGUCAUCAUGGCCCUUAUGCCCCGGGCUGCACACGUGCUACAAUGGUCGGUACAGACGGAAGCGAAGCCGAGAGGUGAAGCGAAUCCUAAAAAGCCGAUCUCAGUUCGGAUUGGAGGCUGAAAUUCGCCUCCAUGAAGUUGGAAUCGCUAGUAAUCGCGGAUCAGCAAUGUCGCGGUGAAUAUGUUCCCGAGCCUUGUACACACCGCCCGUCAAGCCACCCAAGCAGGAUGCA
rnacentral:rRNA from 1 species